rnacentral:lncRNA from 1 species
CAAGAGGUGGAGUCGGUGUUUCUCCAGAGAUGUGGGACGACCGCGAGAGCCCAGAGAGGUGUUCGGCGUCAUGAGUCACAGAGAGAGGCAAGCCACAGCGGAAUGAGAGAGACGCUCACGCUGCUCGGUGGCUACCACAGAAGAAGACAGGAAUGUCCCUGGUGACCUGUUCUGACAUUUCUGCUUUUCCCUGUGAUCAGAGAGGUGUGCAGAGCCCGGGGCUUGUGGAUUCCUCCUCUCUAAGGAUCAAAGCGAAGUCUCAGGCCCUCAUCAAGAAAAAGAGGUAAGCUAUGUACUUC